rnacentral:lncRNA from 1 species
AAAGAAGCAAUUAGGUAGGAAUAGGAUUUCGAUAACGAAGAGAUGGAUUAACAUCAUUUAGCUUUGAUCCGAUUCAGAAUUCUUAGACUAGUCCUCCCCUAAAAUUGAAAUGAAUGGCCGUCCUCUCUUAUCAAAGGUCAGGUAACUGUAGUGUGAAUCUCUAUAUUUCAAACUAACUUUAUCACAAAACUGUUUUUUUUUUUUUUGUGCACUCUAGAGCUAGGAAUCAGAUGCAUUGAAGAUAACAUAGCAACUUGCAAGAAAUUUAUGUGGAUGCGCAUGAAUUGAGGAACAUUCGUUACUGCUUGUUCUCUUAUUUCGUUUUGGUUCCAUACUUCCCCUCUUCAACCCUUCUUGUUGAGAUAACUAGAGUUAGUUAAGGUAGUUAGAGUUGGUUAAAUGUUAGUUAGAGAGAACUAUAGUUUGUUACAAGUAGUCUAUAUAAGGAUCAACCAUGUACUCAUUCAUUAAUCUUUUUCAAUACAAUUCAAUAUGAAUUCUAAGGGUUUUCCCUAUGUUUCUUCCUAUCAAUCAUACUUCUCCUAUGAGGCUAAUCUCAAUCUUUUCGAUCCUAUUAUUUCUGAUACUUCUUGAUCUGCAGUUUUUCUACUAGAUGGACAAUGACAUUAAAUCUUAUAUUGUCACACCAAAGUCAAGUAAAAUAGGAGUUUAUAUCUUGUGUGAAGCCAUGUAAUUUUUUCUCAAUAUAGCACGAGUGCACAAAAUAUGAAGAGAAAAUACGUUGUUAUAAUAGGCACUUCUUGAACACACAAUGUACACAUAUAGGCACUUCUAGAACACAUAGAUGUACACAUAUAUGUGUAUAUUACUAAUAGGUAAUCCAAGAUCCAAUAUGUGUAGUGUAUAUACAUCAAUGAGAGGAUGAAGAUUCUUCGAGAUCCAAUAGGCACUUCUAUUGUGUUGAAGAUUUAGAUCUAUUGUAAGUUAAUAAAAUGCAAAUAUAAGUUAAUAAAAUGUCUUCUUUGCUUGUAGAAAAGCAAGUAUUUGUUAUUAAUGAAUAAGAGAGAAAAGAGAGACAUAUGAUGAAAAACGUGUCUAAAAAGCACUAUCGAAAGGUUUACUAUAUAGGAGUUAAGUAGUUUAGAGACUAAGUUAGAAUAUAUUUACGGAAGGAACACUCUAAAUAACAUUUUAUGCUAAGUAACCUAGAGAGUAGGCUAAAAUAUAUUUAUACAUAAAUAUAAUUAUUUGCUAUUUAUUUAAAUAUCAACGCUCCCCC